GGAGGAGUGGCAGAGUGGUCGAAUGCACCGGUCUUGAAAACCGGCGUGCGUGAAAGCGCACCGUGGGUUCGAAUCCCACCUCCUCCG
rnacentral:tRNA from 1 species